UGCAGCAGGCGCGAAUACUCCGCAAUGCGGGCAACCGCGACGGGGCUACCCCGAGUGCCGGGCGAAGAGCCCGGCUUUUGCCCGGUCUAAAAAGCCGGGAGAAUAAGCGGGGGGCAAGUCUGGUGUCAGCCGCCGCGGUAAUACCAGCUCCGCGAGUGGUCGGGGUGUUUACUGGGCUUAAAGCGCCCGUAGCCGGCCCGGCAAGUCGCUCCUGAAAUCCCCGGGCUCAACCCGGGGGCGGGGGGCGAUACUGCCGGGCUAGGGGGCGGGAGAGGCCGCCGGUACUCCGGGGGUAGGGGCGAAAUCCGUUAAUCCCCGGAGGACCACCAGUGGCGAAAGCGGGCGGCCAGAACGCGCCCGACGGUGAGGGGCGAAAGCCGGGGGAGCAAAGGGGAUUAGAGACCCCUGUAGUCCCGGCUGUAAACGAUGCGGGCUAGGUGUUGGCUGAGCUUCGUGCUCAGCCAGUGCCGCAGGGAAGCCGUUAAGCCCGCCGCCUGGGGAGUACGGCCGCAAGGCUGAAACUUAAAGGAAUUGGCGGGGGAGCAC
rnacentral:rRNA from 1 species